rnacentral:rRNA from 1 species
UACGGGGGGAGCAAGCGUUGUUCGGAUUUACUGGGCGUAAAGAGCGCGCAGGCGGUCGUGCAAGUCGCGUGUGAAAGCCCCCGGCUCAACUGGGGAGGGUCACGCGAUACUGCUCGACUCGAAGGCAGGAGAGGGUAGUGGAAUUCCCGGUGUAGUGGUGAAAUGCGUAGAUAUCGGGAGGAACACCAGUGGCGAAGGCGGCUUCCUGGACCAGUACCGACGUUCAGGCACGAAAGCGUGGGGAGCAAACAGG